GCGGAGGAUGCUGCGGCGGCAGGACGCUCACCAGAAGCUGCUGGCGUGUAAACCCAUCGAGAUGGGCUUCGUACAACUCAAGGUGUACAAGGUGCAGUACCGUCCCGGUGCUUCCUACUACCUGCCGGUCGGCUUUGAGAUCUUGACGAUGCAGAACCACACCCGCUGUCAGUGUACGUGUCGGAAAAGCCCCGAGGACUGCACCACGUUCCAGGU